AAUCUUAAAACGUUUUUUUUUUUCAGUUUUCUCCUUGAAAUUAUUUAUAGACUUUUUCCUCACAUAGAUUUAGUUCAUUUUCCAGAUAGUUCAGGGACAUUUUAGAAACUUCCAACUUCUACACAGAAAUGAAAGACAUUCUUUUAUAGAGACAGAGUGGAUCAACCUUGGUGUUUCUUAUCUUUCUCUACUGCUGUUAGCAAAUGUAAUAAAAGUUAAAUCUCUUUACAGUACAGAUAUGAGAAAGAAAUCUAAAUUUUCUCAUGUUGGAUAAUUUAUAUUUAAAAAAAGUAAACAUUAGUUUAAGUCCUGAUAUUAUGCCAGGAACUAACAUGCAUGGCCAUUGGCUCUCGUUGGGUGGAGUGAUUUUUCUUAAAAAACCUCUUUAUGAGGAAAAAUCUUUGGCCCUGAGUUUCUAAUGUCAUUGAAGGCCUCUGAUAAUUUGCUUAUAAAAGUUUUCUGAGGGAGUUCCUGUGGUGGCUCAGCGGAAAUGAACCCUACUAGUAUCCCUGAGAAUGUGGGAUCGAUCCCUGGCCUCCCUCAAUGGGUUAAGGAUCCGGCGUUGCCAUGAGCUGUGGGGUAGGUGGCAGAAACGGCUCAGAGCCCAAGUUGCUGUGGCUGUGAUGUAGGCCAGUAGCUGCAGCUCCAGUUUGACCCCUAGCAUGGGAACUUCCAUAUGCCACAGGUACGGCCAUAAAAAGACCCCCGCCCCCCAAAAAAAAAGUUUUCUGACAAUGUAUAUGAAUUUCUUUGAAAAAUUACAGGAUAGAUCAUUUAAAUGUAAUUAAAAAAAAAAAAACAACAACCCAAUAAUCACAAUAUUGUUCACUCUGGUUUUCUGAUACAGCAAAAUGUGUGUUGAUAUUUUCAGCCACCUUGAUAUAGGUACUUUCCUGUUGCUGUUUUGGCUGUAAAGCAGACAGCCUUCUCAGAGUGACUCCUUUGUGAGUGUGAUUGCCCAGUUAUGCGUGAGUAUGGUCAGCGUGGAAAUCCAAUUCAAGUAGCAGAAUAGCAUCUGUGAGUUGAAAUAUAAGAGCGUGUGUCUGUGUGUGUGUGUUUAGGGGGUGGAGGACAACACAUACAGAUUGAAGCAACAGUAAGUGGGGCCGAAAUCCUCUGUAAAGAGAAUUGGUUAUUGCAGCUGAUAAAUGUGGCAAUGGGUAGUUAAAACAUAACGUUUUCCUCAGGGUUGUCUUAGAACAGUUUGUGGUGUUGAGAACCUGCCUUGGGUUUCUUAAUAAUGUUUUCCUAGCUGCCUAAUUAGGGUGUGCUACUAAUGCGCUCCAGAAAGUUUCAGCUCCAAAAGAAGUUGCCAAAAGAGGAGAAGCCUUGGUGUGUACCAGUCUGGAAAAGUACCAGAAUGCUGCCUGUGUUUAGGGGUGAGAGGUGGAAGCGGCUCCCCAGUGCCCUGAGUGCAUCAUCAUGACAUGCGGUGGGCAGCUUUGUCAGCACUCCCUCCUCAUCUGUGUGUGGUUUUAUCCCCUACAUCUGAGCUUCCGUAUUUUUCUAGGUCCGCUCGUGGGCUCAGCAACAGGAUUCAGCCCUGAGUGUGUUGCUUGUUUCCACCCGCAUAGACAGUAUAUCACUGGGAACGUUUUUGGCUGCAACUGAAAAGCUCUGCACUGGGCUAGACAGACGUUCAUUUUCCUUAGGUAACAGGAGGUCGAGCUGCUCGGCAGUCUGGGUUCACACAGCUGCACCAGUGCUGUUAAGGACCAGGCUCUUACUGUUUUGGGGGAGGGCAUCUUAGUUAUGAAAAUUUUCAGGGAGGUAAUCCUUCUGGAACUUCCACAUGCCUUGGGCACUGCCCUCCCCCCCCAAAAAAAAAGAAAGAAAGAAAGAAAAAAAGGAAGAGAGAGGAGAACCCAAUCUUCUGGGCACUGCAGUGUGUGCUGCGGAGUACUGUUAUUAUUCUGCUGAUUUUAUUUGCAUGUAAUCCUUUUGAUUAAUUCCUCACAUAAAAUGAUAGUAUAUCAUGUGGCCUUUGCUUAGUUCUUUUAGUUUCAAAGUUACUAAAAUAGAAAAAACUUAAAUUCCUUAUAGUAGGAAAGAAUGACUGAUAGUAAUUUUGUGUUCAACUCUUGCUCUUGAAUAUGGUCCAUUUUCCUCUCACUUGUCUCAACACUAUAAACUAGUUAAAAAUCAUGCCAAGCCAGGUGUUUGUUUCACAGAUUAAACAAAAACGAAAAACAAACCAAACAAAAACAACCUCUUACUGACAAGCAGCCUUUCAAGGGAGAGUGGAGAGUGACCAAUGGAUUGAAUCUGGCCCCUGGCCUCACAGAGCUUCCGUCGGGUGGGGCAGGUGGGUGGACCAGCUGCUGACCUGAAUAAAAGGAGCAUGAAAUACGAGCUGGAUGUGGAGGUCAGAGGUCAUAUUUUUACAUGUAUUGUGGGAAGAGGGUGACAGUGUGAACUUAAAACUCAAGUAAUGUUGUUCAAGUUCUAUGUUUUAAUUCUUUUUAUGUAUGUUUAAUUAACUUAUUAAAGAAAGAUCUUAACACUUUAAUAGGAAAGUGACUUUUAUGACUCAAGAUGUUACUAGAAACAUAUUCAUUCCUCUUAUUCUCUUUCCCUCCCUGUUUUAUAGAUCAUUCCAAGGUGGUACCCAAUCCUAGCUCUCAAAGUAGCCACUGUGAAAUAUCUUAUGGAGUUUAGCAUCCCCACAUAAAGUAUUGUUUACCCAAUAAAAUUAAACCAUGUGUUCAUAAAGAAAUUCUUUUUCUUUUAAAAUCAAACAGUAUCAGGGCUCAUAAAGCAGGAUUUAGAAAUCCCUUCACAGGUCCCUGAAUUGACUACAUUCAGAGCACACACACACCAAUGGGGCUGAUUUAUUUUCAUUUCAUAUAGUUAGAGUCAAACUGUAUGUAUGGUUCUGCAGCUUGCUUGCUUUUUUUUUUUCUCGUAACAUCUUUCUUUGAUUCUUUACAGUACACCUGGAAUAGUGGUUUCUCUCAAUCAAAGAUCGUGCCACCCUCCCCUAGGGGAUAUUUUUGAAUAUGUGAGGGCCUUUUAUGACAAAGUAUCCCACCCAGACCGCCAGUGGCAUCCCGUUGAGAAACAGUGAUAUGGAAAUAGCUUGUCUUUUUCUCAUUUCUUCAUAUAAUUAAAAACUGUGAUUAUACCAUGAAUGAGUCUUUCCUCCCCUCUGGUCAGUGUCUUUUUACGUAUAAUGUGUCUGUGCACCUGUAAGAGCCUGACACACAUUAUUAGAAUUGCUGAGUCAAGAGGGGAUGUGUGUUCAAAAUUUAGUUAUAUGCUCCCAGUCGCUCUCCCAAACUGCUGUACAAAAUUACAGUCCUAAUAACAGCACACAUGUUCUCUUGCAUCCUUUUCAACUGGAGAUAUUAUCAGUUAAAAUGUCAUGCCUACAUAAUGAGAAAAAGUAAAAUCAUGUUUAAGUUUCCAUUUUCCUGUCCAAGCUUCUGUUACAGAGUCCUUUCAAUGUGGUAACAAACAUCAGGUUUGCUUUUCCAGAAGUGAGGUUGCUGCUCACCUGCUCUGGAUAUCUUGUUGCUUAUCUCAUUCAUGUUUCAGAAAUGGGCCUAUUCACUAGUCGGUUACCUCUUUGGAGUGUCUUUUUUUGUCUCAUCUGCUGGCAGUGUCAUACCAAUACUGUGAUUUUUAUGAAGAAUUAUAAAUUGGUAUUUGAAUAGAAGGAGCUGUGUUUUUCAAAUUAGUGCCCAAUUAGUGGGUUGGUAAAACCAAAUUAGGGCUCAUGAGCAGUAUAAAAAAAGAGUAGAAAACAUUAGAGUGUCUCAUAUAUAGGAAAGGUAAGACAUGCUUCUUAAAGCUUCUUGAACAUGUAUUUUUAGUGUGUGUUUUGAAUAUGUUUGUGUUUAAUAUCGCUGUGAGUUGAGCAUUUCUGGUAUGGAGAAUCUCAGCUUUAAAAAUUUAUUCGAAACAGUUUCUUUCUUUCCUGACUGAGGAAGAAGUUUCAUAUUUUCUUUGUGGCAUUAAAGACAUAAAUUUCCAAUAGUACCAAUACUUUGCUAAAAGUUAAGGACCAAGGCUCUUAGAGGGGCUUAAAGGCUUAAAGAUAAAUGUCACUUAAUUGGACAUGGAGAUAUAAUGGGUGUGGAAAGCCAAAUUGGCUUGGGUGCAGGUGAAGAAAUGAUGGGUUACACCCUACUAAACUUAGUUUCACUGAGCAGUAUAAUUUAUCAGUGUUCCAGUGUAGUGGCUGCCCUUGACUGCAGGAGCUGCUUUGCUACAUAGGCAAGAAAAUGCAGAGGAAAUCUUGACGCUCAAUAGUCUUGUCCUUGAAUCAGUACACGUGUAGCCAAGGGUGGUGACUUGAACAGAUUUUGACUGUUUAGCUUACUUCAAUUUCAAUGCUGAUCUUAUGUUGCUUAGAAAAUUACUUGUUAGUGAUUAUAAUAAAUGAUGGUAAUUAAAAUUAAAAAAAAAAAAGCAAUGGAACAUUUCUGCAUGUGGGUGUAUUUAAUUACCUGGCAGGUGUUCCUAUUUCUAAGGCGUGAGACUUAUGGGUAAACAAUGGCCUUUCUGUUAGAAACUCUGCCCACACUUUCGUGUUUCUUUCCUUUUAUAAUUGGGUAUUUUCCAUCCUUUGGAGAAUGAUGAUGAUGAUGACUCUUUUUAUUUUUUGUCUUUUGUCUUUUUUUUAGGGCCAUGCCCAUGGCAUAUGGAAGUUCCCAGGCUAGCGGUCACAUUGGAGCUGUUGCUGCCAGCCUACACCAGAGCCACAGCAGCACCAGAUCCGAGCCUCGUCUGCAACCUACACCUUAGCUCACGGUAACGCUGGAUCCUUAAGCCACUGAGUGAGGCUAGGGAUUGAACCUGCCUCAUGGUUCAAUCCCUUGAACCAUGGUUCCCCGUCGGAUUCAUUUCCACUGCGUCACGAGGGGAACCCCUGAUGAUCACUCUUUUGUGCUGUGCUGUAUGUUUCCUAAGUGCUUCUAUCUUUCAUUUACUUUGCCUCAACCAGUUCUGACAGUUCUGAUGUUUUUACUUGAACUAUUCUUAUUCAGUAAUUGCAUCCUUAUAAAAAAUGAUUAAUGGAAACUUAUAAUCUUACUUUCUGGAUUCGUAAACAGUGACGUUAGAAAACUGCGUGUUUAAAGUUCUGGGAUAUAGUCAUAUAUUAACUACUGUCAAAUUUUAUGAGGUAUUGCUAAUACAUUUUUGGCAAAUAAUAAACAUUAGAUAAUAAAUCUUGUUUCACACACCAAAGAAGAUGGAAGUGAAUGUUCUUUAACGACUAUCGACCACCACAUGACUAUCACUGGGUACUACUCUUCUGUCUUGUUAAUAUGAAGCGUGAAGAGGUGGUGAUGACAUUGAGUAUACUUAUUGUGUAACUUUAAAUUUGGUUAAAACCUUUUAACACCC
rnacentral:lncRNA from 1 species